rnacentral:rRNA from 2 species
GGAGGUAGUGACAAUAAAUCACAAUGCGGGACUUCUGUUUCGCAAUUGGAUUGAGAACAACGCACAACACUUAUCGAUAAACAAUUGGAGGGCAAGUCUGGUGCCAGCAGCCGCGGUAAUUCCAGCUCCAAUAGCGUAUAUUAACGUUGUUGCAGUUAAAAAGCUCGUAGUUGAAGUGAAGUAAUGAAGUUGUGAUUUGAAAUUUUUCAUUUCGCUUCUUAAUUACUCUUUCCAAAUUGUUUGCAUGGGUAUUCAUUUAUCUGUGUAUUGCAUUUGGUCAUUUACUGUGAGAAAAUUAGAGUGUUCAAAGCAUACGUUUGUUUGAAUACAUUAGCAUGGAAUAAUUCGAAAAGGCUUUCAUGUUCGAUUUGAUUGGUUUGUUCGUGAGAGCAAGAUUAAAAGGGACAGUUGGGGGUAUUCAUAUUCAAUAGUCAGAGGUGAAAUUCUCGGAUUUAUGGAAGAUGAACAAGUGCGAAAGCA